AGUGAACGCUGGCGGUAGGCCUAACACAUGCAAGUCGAACGGCAGCACAGUAAGAGCUUGCUCUUACGGGUGGCGAGUGGCGGACGGGUGAGGAAUACAUCGGAAUCUACUUUUUCGUGGGGGAUAACGUAGGGAAACUUACGCUAAUACCGCAUACGACCUACGGGUGAAAGCAGGGGAUCUUCGGACCUUGCGCGAUUGAAUGAGCCGAUGUCGGAUUAGCUAGUUGGCGGGGUAAAGGCCCACCAAGGCGACGAUCCGUAGCUGGUCUGAGAGGAUGAUCAGCCACACUGGAACUGAGACACGGUCCAGACUCCUACGGGAGGCAGCAGUGGGGAAUAUUGGACAAUGGGCGCAAGCCUGAUCCAGCCAUACCGCGUGGGUGAAGAAGGUCUUCGGGUUGUAAAGCCCUUUUGUUGGGAAAGAAAAGCGGCAGGUUAAUACCCCGCUGUUCUGACGGUACCCAAAGAAUAAGCACCGGCUAACUUCGUG
rnacentral:rRNA from 1 species